UACAUGAUUCAAGAGAAAAGAGAAAAGUGAAGAACAUGAUGAGUUGAUGGCAAAGAAAUCCAGGUUGGCAUACACCCGAAAAAGAUGGAAAUUAGGCAGGACACGCACAGUUCCGAAAAACACUCUGGCUCAUCGUGACUUCUUUA